rnacentral:tRNA from 1 species
GGGCGAUUAGCUCAGUUGGCAGAGCGUUCCCUUCACACGGGAGAGGUGACAGGUUCGAAUCCUGUAUCGCCCACAA